rnacentral:rRNA from 1 species
GAUGAACGCUGGCGGCGUGCCUAAUACAUGCAAGUCGAGCGAACGGACGAGAAGCUUGCUUCUCUGAUGUUAGCGGCGGACGGGUGAGUAACACGUGGAUAACCUACCUAUAAGACUGGGAUAACUUCGGGAAACCGGAGCUAAUACCGGAUAAUAUUUUGAACCGCAUGGUUCAAAAGUGAAAGACGGUCUUGCUGUCACUUAUAGAUGGAUCCGCGCUGCAUUAGCUAGUUGGUAAGGUAACGGCUUACCAAGGCAACGAUGCAUAGCCGACCUGAGAGGGUGAUAGGCCACACUGGAACUGAGACACGGUCCAGACGCCUACGGGAGGCAGCAGUAGGGAAUCUUCCGCAAUGGGCGAGAGCCUGACGGAGCAACGCCGCGUGAGUGAUGAAGGUCUUCGGAGCGUAAAACUCUGUUAUUAGGGAAGAACAUAUGUGUAAGUAACUGUGCACAUCUUGACGGUACCUAAUCAGAAAGCCACGGCUAACUACGUG